CGUGAUUUAUUACUUGCCCUGCUGCUUCUGACAAACUAUUUGUAGGAAAAUGAGAUUUGGUCCGCGCUGGAUGGCUCCUCUGGGAGGCAGGCGUGGGGGUCGGGUGUCGGAGGCCCCGUGCGCCCCCCCACCCCCCACCAGAGCCCACGGCGCUCACGGAGCUCUUUAAGAUAAAUGAGCAAAAUUAAGAGACUCACUGGGGGAAGAAAACACUGGAUGGGAGCGAGCGAGAGCGGAUGGUACUUGGUUUCCUCCCAGAAAUGCAUCCACGUGCGCCCCACUGGGGCCUCCCCCAUCUGCUGCAGACUCCAGGGAACUUCCUCCCCUCAAAGACGAACUUCCAGCCCUGGAGCAUGUUUCUUCCUUUCCUGGGAUGUGGCGCUGAAAAGGGCAGAAACCUCUAGUAAGGCACAAGCAACAGAUUGGGGGUGGAGCAGCAGGUCUCUUUGGAGGUGGCCUGGAAGAAACCGGACAGAGAGGAUGGGAAGGGGAGAAACAGAAGAGUGUGACGAGAUCAUGAAGGAAAGAGGAGGCGUCUACUGAAUGUAAGGUAGAGCCAAAGGCAUCUAUUGAUGACUGAAGAAGAGGCAUGAAUAUGACAAAAACAGGAAGGUGGUUACAUCAAAAACAGUAUUGCUGGCCACCGCGCCGGCGAGCGCCGCCAGGGAGGCAGCGGCUGGAGGAGCGGACGGGCCCCGCAGGGCCCGAGGGCAAGGAGCAGCCGCCUGCCUUGGCCUCCCAAAGUGCCGAGAUUGCAGCCUCUGCCCGGCUGCCACCCCGUCUGGGAAGUGAGGAGUGUCUCUGCCUGGCCGC
rnacentral:lncRNA from 10 species